rnacentral:lncRNA from 1 species
UUUCAUCAAAAAUUGAAUAAUUGGGGUUCUUUGAUAUGCUGAAUCUAACUGUGUAUGUAGAUUCUUAAUUUUUGGUCCCGUUUUCAAAUUGGUCUACAUUAAGGUCCAAAGGGUCCAAAAUUAAACUUAGUUUGAUUUUAACAAAAAUUGAAUCCUUGGGGUUCUUUGAUAUGCUGAAUCUAAAAAUCUACUUAGAUUUUUGAUUAUUGGCCCAGUUUUCAAGUUGGUCCAAAUCGGGG